AGGACACCAAACUACGAUUACAGCUAAAUGACAAUCAGGAAAUGACAGCAAGGCUGCACGAAGGCCUUGGCAGUGGACUUUGGAUCAAAACGACCUUGUUUCCGAAGCGUCUUCGCAUUCGUCUUGCCACCAGGACAGAACAGCGCGAUGUAGGAAGGUGCGUGCAUCACUGCCGAGAGAUCUGUGAGAGACCAGAUUUCUGGCCAAGGUUAACUGUCGCAUCGGCGGCCUCGUUGCUAGGCAGGCCAGAGUGUCCAGGCGCCCGAUAAAACACAGCAGCUUUCCGGAAUUCUUAUUAUGAAAGUUAAGACAUUGACUUGUAACUAUAACACACAAAUAUACAAUUUUUUAACGUUGAAUAACGUUUAUGAAAUAACGGUACACUCGACGGAAACUGUAAGACGUAAGGUAACGCUGGUGUGUAACUUCUUCAAACGCCAAUAACUCGAGACCUAUGUAAGAUAGAGAAUAUAAAUCUAUAUGUAAAUUAAAGAGUAUAUAAAGGGCUUUUUCUACACGAU